rnacentral:rRNA from 1 species
AUUGAACGCUGGCGGCAGGCCUAACACAUGCAAGUCGAGCGGGGUUUUCGGACCUAGCGGCGGACGGGUGAGUAAUGCGUAGGAAGCUACCCGAUAGAGGGGGAUACCAGUUGGAAACGACUGUUAAUACCGCAUAAUGUCUACGGACCAAAGUGUGGGACCUUCGGGCCACAUGCUAUCGGAUGCGCCUACGGGGGAUUAGCUAGUUGGUGGGGUAAUGGCUCACCAAGGCGACGAUCCCUAGCUGGUUUGAGAGGAUGAUCAGCCACACUGGGACUGAGACACGGCCCAGACUCCUACGGGAGGCAGCAGGGGGGAAUUUUGGACAAUGGGGGAAACCCUGACGCAGCGAUGCCGCGUGGAGGACGAAGGUCUUCGGAUUGUAAACUCCUUUUGCGGGGGAAAAAUAGCGGUGUGAACAACACCGUUUGAUGGUACUCCGCGAAUAAGCCACGGCUAACUUCGUGCCAGCCGCCGCCGUAACAC